rnacentral:rRNA from 1 species
UACGUAGGUGGCAAGCGUUGUCCGGAUUUACUGGGUGUAAAGGGUGCGCAGGCGGGACUGCAAGUUGGAUGUGAAAUACCGGGGCUCAACCCCGGAACUGCAUCCAAAACUGUAGUUCUUGAGUGGAGUAGAGGUAAGCGGAAUUCCGAGUGUAGCGGUGAAAUGCGUAGAUAUUCGGAGGAACACCAGUGGCGAAGGCGGCUUACUGGGCUCUAACUGACGCUGAGGCACGAAAGUGUGGGUAGCAAAC